GCAGCGCAAUGGAUAGCAUGUUGGACUUGUAAUCCAAAGGUCGUGGGUUUGAAUCCCACUUGAAAUG